UCCUCGGUAGGAUAGUGGUGAGUACCCCCCCCCCCCUGUGGUGAGUAUCCCCGCCUGUCACGCGGGAGACCGGGGUUCGAUUCCCCGCCGGGGAG